UUUCCGUGUUUUUUCGUGAUCGUAUAACGAAUUCCUGUUUUCAAGUGAUUAUCAUGUAUUGGUUACUCAACUGUUUUUUCCUAUUUUUAAACCAUUGUUGCUUCGGCAUUGGUUGCGCCUAGUAGGCGUGGUUAUGCUGAAGUAUCGAGACUCGCGCGUUCGGAGAGAAUAACGCGAGAUCCGCUGUGGCAAUUGAGGAAGGUACAUGUGCUGUCUUUAUAAAGUUUGUAAUAUCACAGAUUGAUGGCAUAACCAGUGAAUAAAUAACAGAGUGAUGAGCGAAGAGAAGUUUUCGGGUUGGAUUGACUACAGGUGGUGUAUGAUUGCAUCCGAGUUCGCGGAUAUAUGACGAGCCUCAAUGUGCCUCAAUAAAGAUUAACCACAUCACACACCGACAUACAUAAAAAUCCCGGGUGUCACGAGCAACCACAGAAUAUCAUCGCAAUGAACUCCAAUCCCUUCAUUAAUAAAGCAAUGCGUCUGAGGAACACCUGUUCAACACGUGAGGAUUUCCACCAUACUGAGGAGCAUCUCCAUUUCAACACAAUGGGUUACAUCAAGUAGACAUUCCCUGAAACUAUUGGGACUUUGCUAUUAAUCACUGAUCUUGCUUUUUUUAUUCAUUACCAGAUCUCCAAUUAAUAUUUUUUUUAUCUAACUUUGUUAUUUCUUUAUUAAUGUUAAUGUUGUUAUGCAGGAUUACACUUUGUUUUGUUCAUUUAUUUGAAUGCUUUAUUAUGCUCAAUGAUUCAUAUUUUAAAUACACUGAUACACUUGAUAAAUUGUACAUUGUGACUCUUGCUCUUUACUGUCCUCGUGGUCCCUGGGCAUUGGUUAUUUGCCCUAAGGUGAUUUUUACGGGAAUAUUAAGUAGUGCAUUGUACAGUCUGCCAGACACAUAUAUUUUUUUGAAAAUAAUUUUAUAAUCACUGUUUUAUGUAUGAUUUGAAUUAGUGUUCUAAAGUUAAGAUCAUGGUAACACACUAGUAAGUACUUUAGAAUUAUGUAGUAACACUUGAGUCAUUAGUAGUGGGUUACCAUGAUCUUCACUUUAGAAUACUGAUCCCAAAAAAUAGUAAUUACUUUAGAAUGAUGUAGUAACACUUGAGUCAUUACUAGUUGGUUACCAUGAUCUUCACUUUAGAAUACUGAUCCCAAAUAAUAGUAAUUAAUCUAGAAUGAUGUAGUAACACUUGAGUCAUUACUAGUUGGUUACCAUGAUCUUCACUUUAGAAUACUGAUCCCAAAAAAUAGUAAUUACUUUAGAAUGAUGUAGUAACACUUGAGUCAUUACUAGCGGGUUACCAUGAUCUUCACUUUAGAAUACUGAUCCCCAAAAUUAGUAAUUACUUUAGAAGGAUGUAGUAACACUUGAGUCAUUACUAGUGGGUUACCGUUAUUCAUAUAGU